AACGAACGCUGGCGGCGUGCCUAAUACAUGCAAGUCGAGCGAGAAAGUGGCUUCGGUCAUGAGUAAAGCGGCAGACGGGUGAGUAAUACAUAGGUAACCUUCCCUCAAGAUGAGGACAACCUUCCGAAAGGAGGGCUAAUACUGAAUGAGACCACAGUGACACAAGUCACAGGGGUUAAAGACGGCCUCUAUUUAUAAGCUUUCGCUUGAGGAUGGGCUUAUGCACCAUUAGCUAGUUGGUAGGGUAAUGGCCUACCAAGGCUUCGAUGGUUAGCUGAUCUGAGAGGUUGAUCAGCCACACUGGAACUGAGACACGGUCCAGACUCCUACGGGAGGCAGCAGUAGGGAAUAUUGCGCAAUGGAGGAAACUCUGACGCAGCGACGCCGCGUGGGUGACGAAGGGUCUUCGGAUCGUAAAGCCCUGUCGGAGGGGACGAAAGACACCAAGAUAAUACCUUGGUGGGAUGACGGUACCCUUAAAGGAAGCACCGGCUAACUACGUGCCAGCAG
rnacentral:rRNA from 1 species